ACUUGUGAUAGAGUUGGUAAGCAAACAACAUGGAUCCUGAUCAGACACGGAUGCGCAGGCUGGUCUGAAUCCAUGCUGGUCGCAAACCCUCUAUGUUGGUUUUGUCGUAACGCGGCUCAAUUAUUUGUAUAUUAGCCAUGUCUUACAGCAUAUAAUACACAUAUUAACUAUACUGCCAUUUUUAACAAGUGUUCAAGGAGUAGUGUGCGUGCGGGGAUGUAUGCAUAUUGUUACGUUCUGUAAAUAUCAAUUAAUAUUCGGAAAAUUUUAAACUAUGUAUUAAUUUUAUUUGUUUUACAGGUUUUUUGUUCCACUUUUCAAAAUUGUAAGUAUUUUGGUAAAUAGUUCAUGAAUUUAAUUUAUGAACUAUCUGAUACAUAAUAACAUUAGUAAAAGAGAGAGAGAGACACACACUAAAACACGAAAUAUUUUUUAAAGAAAUUUUUUAAGGUUUUGAAAAUUUAUUAUAUGAAUUGUUUUUUGACAGGUUUUUCUUUCCUCAUUAACUAACCUUCAGCCUUCUGACGGCAAUGGAAUGGACCAGUGCAGUCCAAAAUAAGAUAGACACGCUGUCUGAUCAUGGUCUAUUCAAAAUAUUUGUCAUGGUAAGGGUUAAGAAAGGAAAAGUUUGAAGAACUAACAUCAUCCUGUUACUAGGGACAAAUUGAACAAUGUAAAUUCAGUACAAUACAAUAAUUCAGUGCUAAUACAAAGUUAAUUUUUUAUAUAUAAAAUAUUUAACAAUUAAUCAUGUUAUGGUGUGUUUAAAUCAUAAUUCAUUUUUUCAGAUCAUGUUAUAAAAAGAGCUCUAAAAACAUUCUUAGUGAAAAAUGUAAAUGUAUUUAUGGUUGCAGUUUUUAUUUUUUUUACAAAUGUAUAUGUGAUGCAAGAAGUGGAUGUAAUUUAUUUAUUAUUACAUUUUUUUUAUAUUUUUUUUUGAGUGUGCAGUCAUAGUAGUGCACAAGUAGGAUAGCUCAAUAGCAUGUAUAUAUGAACAUGUAAUAUGUUAUUAUUUUAACUAAGAUCUCUUUGUGAAAUAAAUUUGAUGUUAGGUAAAUAAGCUUGAACAUACCUGACUUGAUACAACAUCGUAAUAAAAUAUACCCGACUUGAUACAACAGUGUAAUAAAUUGUUCUAUAUCCAGGAUAGUAAAUAAAUUCAACAAAUGUUCAAGGAGUACUAUCUACUAUAUGUCAUGGUUCUAAAUUUGCAGGAGUUAUCCCUCAUUGAACCUUGGAAUUAAAAGUAUUCUUUUGCAUGCUGGGAAAUAAUGUCAUCUGAUAUAAUAUUGUUUGCUUAUUCAUUUAGGAUUUUUAUUUGAUCCAAUUUUUCUCAAAAACAUAGAAAUGAAGGGUGACUGUCUAACAAUGGUUCCUGGUAAGAUGCUGAGGGUUUUUGCAUCUGGCCUGGUACCAAGCUGUUAUCAAAGGCUUUUGUGACAGCUGACAGCAGGUCAAGGGUUCAUUUAUACUGGCAAAACAUUAUUAGUGUAAUGAUACAAAGAAAAGGUAUAGGUGUUAGUGUCAUAUCAGCUAUCUGGAAGUAGGCAGUUUCAAAAUGCAUGAAUUAUUUUCUUUUUCUUGACUAAAUUCAAGUUGUCGUUGUCAAGUCUCUAUAACGGACAGGUAAAAGUACCGGCUAUCAAAUUUGUUACAAAGUUGAUCUUAAAGUCAGCUGUAUGUUUAUUUUUGUAGGAUUCAGUUUAUAAGAGAUAAUGUCCAUGUAUUGCAAAGUUUGAUAAAGUUCCUCCCAUUUUUUUUCUUUUUAUCUUUUAGUUUAUCUUUCAAGUGAUAAUUGUAAUAUUUGAUAACAUGUUACAUUGUCAAGUCACUUUAGCAUCUAUUGUAUUCUAUAAACUACAUGUAUAUACAUGUACAUUACCUACUAUACAUGUAUAUCUGUUGACAGAGCAGUUACUGUUACUAUGGCAACAGCUAUUAAACAACCUGUUCAUUGUAUAGAGUUUGGUAUAACUGUUUUAUAAGAAUAAAGAUGUUAAUUUCUUCCCUACAUAAAUAGAACAGAUUACUAACUCGAUUGCUUAUUGAAGUUUGCAUUUCUUUUGGUAACGUGAGUACACGAUAUUCCCUUUCCUCCGUUAAUUUUUUUAUUUAUGAAACAUUAUGACAUACAUACAUGACACAGCACUUCUUGGUUUCAGAGAUGAUACUGUAGUAUAGAAAUUGGAAGAUUCAUAUAUUUCAGUCAUCAUAGAUGAAAGCUGAUGCUGUUUUACCCUAGAGUGAUUCCUUUUGUAAAUUAUUGCAACAAAGGUUUUCAUAAUUUCUGGUUCAGAAUUGCGCAGUGUCAUCAAUAGUUCUUUUCCUUUGAGAGUACUCAAAUAUUAAUAGUCUGAUCUAUUGGGAAUAUGUUAUAGUUUCUUUGAUGAAACGUUUAAUUUCUUCUUAGGCCGAACAAAGUUUAUUAUUUUACUUUGUUUCUCUUAACUUGUCUAGGCAUUUCUACUGUACAAAUUAAUGCUUCUAAAUUAAAUAUAUCAUAACAUACCAUUUCCUAGUCUGCAUCAUUUCUCCGUUACAUUAUAUUUGAUAAUUAUUUGCGUUUUUUUUCCAAUAAUUAUUCAAUGAUUUUCUGUUUAUUGUUAUCUCCUUUGAACAGGACAAAAAAAUGUCUUUUUACAGUUAUCUCCUUGAACAGGAAAAAAGAUGUAUUUUUACAGUUAUCUCCCUUGAACAGGAAAAAUAAGAUGUCUUUUUACAGUUAUCUCCCUUAAAACAGGAAAAAAUGAUAUCUUUUUUAAAGUUAUCUCCCUUGAAAAGGAAAAAUAAGAUGUAUUUUUACAGUUAUCUCCCUUGAACAGGGAAAAAUGACACAGACAUAUUUGUAUAGAAUUUUAAACAAAUGCAAUAUAGGAAGACAAGUUUUAGAGAUGAUGAUGCACUGUAUAAGAUACUGUAUGUAAUGCUUUUGCUUGCCAUAUAACACAUGUUAAUGGUGCGUAGAGAAGAACUUGAAUCUUUGAUAUAUAUCGUCACCUUAGUUCAGAAAAUGUGUUAACUUCUGUUCACUUUUACUGGGAGUUAACCUGUUACUGCAUUAAGUUGAUGAUAUUAUUAUACUGCUAUGUAAUACAGAUGUAUAUUUACAAGUUAAACAAGUUGCUUGCUUGUGAUAUAGUUUGUAGAAGCUGCAAGAUUUUGUUAAGUAAACUACCAAUUUUUACUGUAGAACUUCUCUUUCACGUAGGGUGUCGAGCAUUGAAUGUUCCAUUUAAAAAGGCCAGUAUAAUAAGGUUUCAGGUCUUAACAUACUGAAUCCAUCCACUAAGCACAAUUAUUAUAAGAGAGCUCAUUUGUAAUUCAAGGGUCGCUGGUCCGAUCCUCAGGCAAGUCAAAAUAACUCUUUGACCUAUUGUUCUCGGGCAUUGUGUCUUAUGGUAAUUUGUUUGUCAUUGCUAAUUCAGAAAUCAUUGGGAUUUAAUUGUCAGUCACUUGCAGAGAAAUUGGUAAUUACUGGUCAGUUAUCCAGGAAAUCUGGUUUGGUGGACUGGCUGCCGAGAUAUGAAUAAAAAUGUUAGAAUCGGUGUAAUAAAACAAACAAAAUAACAUAAUGAAGUGUUUCAUGCAAGAUCUUUGUUACUGAUUAGUUCUCUUAUUUAAAUAUACAAGUGACAAAAUACGUCACUUUAGUUCAGUAACAGGUUAAGUCUUGCUAAAUUUAAUAGGAGUUAACCAGUUAUUGCUCUAUGGUGACAAAAUAUCAAAAUAAUCAAUGAGAAAAGAUUCAGGGACUGUAUGCUACUUAGAUUAUAGUACAAGGUGUCUAAAUGUGGCUGAUGGCUCAGUGUUAAGCUGAAAGAGUCCUGAGUUAAUAAACAUCAUAUCAUACAUACAUACAUAGUGCUGUAUGAGAAAAUAAUUUUAAAGGUUUGAAAAUUUUUAGAUUUCUAGGUCAGAAAAGAAGUUGUUUUACUUUACUUUAGAUGAUUCAGAUUUGAAUAUUGUGGCCAUGCUAUUGUGCAUUUACAUGUGUGAAGAGAAUUUUAAAUGUUGUAGUGUCAUAAGAUGUUAUUUUGUUUAUUAGUUUAUUAAGGUAUGUGUGUAAACAUGUAUUUGAUAAGCCACUGUAACCGACUUGUGUCGGCAUUUAAAAUCUGUAUGCACUCUGAACUGUAGCUAUAGCUCUGUUGGUACAUAAAAAAGUCCCAAAAUAACUUCAUGUAUUAGAUGGCAAAUCUAACAUGCUAUGAUCACAUGAUUGUUGAUGUUAUGAAAUGCAAACUAUACGUGUACAAGCAGCACGCGUCAAGAUUCUAAACUUUUUUUCUUUAUCUUUUUGUAAGAAAAUAAAGAAAAUAUUCUUAAUAGUUAAAACAUUGUCAGGUGAAUAAAUUAAUUGACACUAGUUGGCUGAAAGAACUUCAAUAAAUAAUAUGUCAUAGCACUAACACUGGUGAAAAGAUAAGAAAUGUACAUUAUUUAACUUCACAUAUUUGCCUUAAAGUUCUAUUUAUUUUUUUUAUUUUCAAAAUUUGAGUAAACAUUUUGAAACCUGCAACUUUGGAAAUUACCUUCUAUAUUUGCAUAUUAUUGUUACAUACACAGUUUUUGAGAUGCCUAUGAUAACAGUGUAUUGAUAUUUAAGUUACAGUCAAACCUGUGUUAAAGAACACAUGUGAAUAAAGACCACCCUGUAAAUCUAGGCCACUGUUUGGCAAUACUUCAUGAAUUCAAAACAACCUCCAAAUGAAGACAAUUUAUCUAUAAAGGCCAUGUUUGGUCUCUCCUUUGGGUGGUCUGUGCUCACAUGUUUGACUGUAUAUUCUUGUAGGCAUAUUUACAUAUAUUUUAUGUUAAAGGUACACCGCUGAAAUUUAUAACCCUGCUGGAUAUGUUUUAUAGUAAGUUACAGCAAUAAAUGAAAUGUUCUGCUAGAUUUUUUGUAAUUAUUAUAUUAAACAUAAUGCUGAAAAUUUCACUAACUAUGUUUAGUUAGUAUUGCUGGAUAUUUUAAAUCGUGUCUGUGACACAAAACAAUUUUUAACACGUCUGUUUCGGAGAAAAAGUCCGAGCUGUUAUGAUAACUGCAUUGAUGUUGUCGUUGUGCAAAAUCUUUAAUGUAGGUAAAUUACUCAAACAAUUGUAAUGGUAUUGACAUGAAACUUGGAAUACUUGCUUAUCGUUACAAUAGGCAGUUGUAAUACAAGGGCCAUUAUUCUGAAAGCUAUAUUUUUUUAGUUAUGCCCCCUUUAAAUUUAGUAUUUUUGUCAAAAGUGGUUAUUUUAACAGGCGAGCAUUCACAAUGCAUGCAGUGCUCUUGCUUUACUGUAAAAUAAGCUCAGUUACUGUAAAAUGUAUAUGUUCUAUGUGACAGAGUUUUUAUGUAGGUGUGUGAUUUUUUUUAGGAUUUUUUUUUGUUAUAAAGAAUACACAUAGAUAGUAAAUAAAGUACUUGAGCAAGAUUUCUGAUGCCUCAAUACAAAGUAUUUUAUUCCGACUUUUUUGCGGCAGUUUUACUCUCAGUCCAUAUGUUUGCCAAAUUUAAUAUAAAAGUAAUUCCUUUAACAUUGUAAGUGUCGCAUAGGUAAAAACAUCUAUUUAUUUCAAAGGUGUUUUUAUGCAAGUCUUAACCAUAAAUACUGGAUACUUUUGGUUGCCAAAUAAAAAAAUCUGUUUUAUUAAUAUGAUUGUAAAUUUUAGGAAAAUAUUUUUUUUAUUGGCAUAAUUAUUGUAACAAGUUAUGUAACAGUCAUUUACAGUUUGAUCAUAUUGUAGAUUUUUUUUUUUUAUAUAAUUUUUUUUUUGCCCUUGAAUGGUAGUAUUGUUGUUUAUAUAUGAUGAUUUUAGUGUCAUAUAUUGUAAGAUUGUUAUGACAGUAACAAUUAUGUUAUUAUAUUUUACCUUUAACCUGUUAUGAAUUUGGAACAGUCCAUUCAAAGUUUAAAAACUUCAGAAAUUGAGCUUACCACCAGUAUAGAGCCUGAUCAGACUGGAUGGAUAUGCAGGCUGGCCUGGCUCUAUGCUGGCGAUAAAAGGCUUAUCAUAUGAGCCGUGUCAUGACAAAACCAACAUAAUGGGUUUGCGACCAGCAUGGAUCCAGACCAGCCUGCGCAUCCGCGCAGUCUGAUCAGGAUCCAUGCUGUUUGCUAUCAGUUUCUCUACUUGUAAUAGACUUGGUAAGCGAACAGUAUGGAUCCUGAUCAGACUGGGCCGAUGUUGGUUUUGUCAUGACACGCCUCACAUUUGGUUCCAACAGGUAAAGGGUUUAAAAAAAAGAAGAUACAAAUUCACAUGAUUGAUUUUCCCAUCCAUUGUGGUUCAGAUUUCAUUACAUAUGCAUAUAUGCAUGAGUAUUUCAUCUAUGUUAACACAGAGAAUCUUUUUAUAUGAUUAUACAUACAAACAUGUGUAAACACUCAUUUCCGUCACAUAAUAUCCCAGACAAAAACGCACACGCCCCGACACUGUCGUCGUUCAUACCAAUCCAUGUAAGUGUUUAUAUACUAUCUAUACUGCAUCAUUAAUACAACUUGUUUAAUAAAUAUGAAUGUAUAAAAUGUAACUUAACUUGUAUUGUAAGGAAUUAUGUAUUGUUAUUUCAAUUGUUUUUAUGCAUAGUAACGAACAUGUUUUUUUUUUUUUUUUCAUUUUUUUUUUUCUUUUUGUUUUUUUUUUUGCUCAUUUUUGUUCAUGAUAACAAAUUGAUUUGCUUUUCAUGAUAUGCAGGUUUUUAAUUACUAAGGCAGUUAUGAUUCUAGUAUGAAAGAUUGAUAAAAAUGUUGGUAGGAAGUAUAAAUUCUGUUUGUAGACCAGACAAUAUUUUGCAAGGUUUUCAUUGUUUUAUUGAUAGAUAGAGCAACAUGAUUAGCCAAUCAGAUGCUCCAAUUGUUAGACUGGUCCUAGAGAUGUGGUUUUUUUCAAUGGUUAGACUGGUCCUAGAGAUGUGGUUUUUUACCAGUGUGAAGAAAUAAUGAUUACAGUGUUAUAUACUUCAUUAUGUGCAUGGAACUUUUUGACUCUUUUUAUUUGUGUAAAAUUAUUGUAUAUUUUGGUAAAUUUUAUAUUGUAUAAAAGUUAUUAAGAUUUUUUUUGAAAGAUUUAAUAUGCUGAUUUUGAUAUUGCUGAUUUUUCCUGAGGAAAUUAAAAAGCAAUAGACAAUAUUUGAAAAAGGACAAAACAGACUGUUUUUCUUUGUUUUAGAUUGGUUAUUUUAAAGUUAAAUGCAGAUUGUUACGUGAAUUUACUUUAACAUUGUAAAGACAGUUAAAUUAUGAAAGACUAAUGAUAAAAAAUUUUUAAUGUACAAUUUCAAAACAAAACAAAACAAAAAAAAACAACAUAAAAAUACAGGUAAAUAUUGAUACAUUAGCUGCUGCUAUGUCAGCAUGUGGUUCAUUUCACAAUAAAAUCAUGAAUAUUUUGUUCUUUUCUUUUUUGCUUGUGUUUAUAGUUGAUGAAAUUUUUCAGGUUGUUAUGUAUUCACCUCACAUGCAAGACUUCUUAAGCAGUAAAUAACAAAAAUUGAAACAUUAAAUUUUUUUUUCAAAUUUAGUUUGUAAAAAGUAUAAUUUUGGCAGACAUUUUGUAUAUUUAUGUAUUUCAAUAUACAUUUCAUUGAUGUUUUUUAUUUUCAGCUAACUGAACUAGAGUUUUAAAGUAAUUAAAAAAACAACCAAAAAACACACAAGAAAACACAGAAAUAAACAAUUACAAGAAGUUUGAAGUUAUUCCAUUUUUACUGAAUUGAGCACAACAUUAAAAGAAAAUUAAAUGAUAUUUUUGUUAUUUGUUAACUUAAUAUCUUUAAAAGUUAGCUCUUGUGAUUGUUGAAAGGAAUGUAUUGAAACUGUAAAGUUAAUUUCAGUCUGGAAUCUAAUUUUCAGACACUGUCACUUUUCAAGAUAGUGUCAAAUGUGAAUAAUUGUAGAGUAAACUCUAAAAAUCAAUUUAAAACAUAUAAGAUCAUUUUCAGCUCUUCCGUUGCGAAGAAAAAGUCGCUAUUAGGAUCACUGCUUCAUCAUCGUCGUCAUUGUGCAAAAACCUUAAUGUAAGCCAUUACUUAAAAAUUUCAAAAGUAAAAAAACUUGAAACUUGGGAUACUUGCUUAUUUUGACAAGGUGCAGGCGUAAUUUUUGACAAGGUGCAGGCGUAAUUCUGAAAGCUAUCUUUUUGGAGUUAUGCCCCUUUUUUAACUUUGAAUUUUGUUUAACAAGUUUACAGACGAUGGUUAACAUGGCAUGCUCUGUGCUCUUGUUCAGAUUAUGAUGUAAUGUAAAAACUUUGAAGAAGUAUUUGUGUGUGAGGUAAAUAUCAUGAUUAUAAAGAAUAAAUGUGCUAUAUAUGAUAUUAUAAUGUACUGUUUUAUUUAUUUUGUUACUGUAGAUGUUUAAUACUGUUGUCCUGUCCUCAAGAACAGUCAAUUUCAUCAGUUUUUGAAGACUAAUAGUAACUUUUAUUAUUAUUAAAUGAAUCUAAAAAAUGUAACAUUG